rnacentral:rRNA from 1 species
GAACGAACGCUGGCGGCAGGCUUAACACAUGCAAGUCGAACGCCCUCUUCGGAGGGAGUGGCAGACGGGUGAGUAACGCGUGGGAAUCUACCCAGCUCUACGGAAUAACUCAGGGAAACUUGUGCUAAUACCGUAUACGUCCGAUAGGAGAAAGAUUUAUCGGAGUUGGAUGAGCCCGCGUUGGAUUAGCUAGUUGGUGGGGUAAAGGCCUACCAAGGCGACGAUCCAUAGCUGGUCUGAGAGGAUGAUCAGCCACACUGGGACUGAGACACGGCCCAGACUCCUACGGGAGGCAGCAGUGGGGAAUAUUGGACAAUGGGCGCAAGCCUGAUCCAGCCAUGCCGCGUGAGUGAUGAAGGCCCUAGGGUUGUAAAGCUCUUUCACCGGUGAAGAUAAUGACGGUAACCGGAGAAGAAGCCCCGGCUAACUUC